AUGCCACAGCACCUCCAGCCUGGGUGGCUGAGUAAGACUCCAACUCAAAAAAAAAAGGAUGGGCCCUGCAACAGGACUUACCUAGGUGUGAACCUCGGCUCUACCACUUUUUAUCUAGGGGCCUUGGGCAACUUAACCUCAUGACUCUAAAACGGAGGUAAUAAUACCUACCUCAAACAUUAAUAUGAAAACAAAGCAAUUACAGUGUCUGCCUCACAGUGAGAGCUCAAAAGAGGUUAGCCAUUAUUAUUUUCACUGUUAAUAUUACAAAGUCUCAGGAACAGCAGCUGACCCAGAGAAGGAGAGUAACCGGAGAUGAGACCAGCCCAGAAGGCAGACGCCAAACUGCAAAGUGCUUUGUGUCUUUAGAGUUUGGAUUUUACUGAAAGCCACAGGCAACCACUAGGCAACUCCAAGCAACAGCAGAGUUAUCUGCUCAGAUUCACUCUUACGCUGACAACAGGUCAGAUUCCAAAGUAUGUGUAUAUAUGUUCUUUCGGUUUUUAAAUUUAACUUUUAAGUUCCGGGGUACAUGUGCAGAUUUGUUA